ensembl:miRNA gga-mir-6711 gga-mir-6711
UGCAAGAUUUAUUCCUUUCGUGAGCUGCACUUGGGAUUGAGAAGAAGCAAGAGCCUGUGAUUUCCUUUUUCUCGAGUCUAAGAUACAGUAACAGAAAGGAAAAGCUGCUU